AAUUAAACAAGUAAUAAAAUUGACAAUCAAGCAGAAUAAAUGGGUUGCGUCCCUUAAAGCGCUUGCUUUAACGUCUUCCAGCCGGACGAUGAACACCUUCACUUCUCUUUGGAACCCACGGCAUGCAGUGAUAUCCUCCACAACAUGCUCCACAAAGUUCUCGUAGAUUACAUCCUUGAACGGAAAUGGAUAGUGAUGUUUGUUGAUGUUGUGUUGUCUAAGGUUCAUGUUCAUACGCCCACCAUCAGGGAUUUGCUUAGGUACCUGCACCAAAGAAGGGAACCACCUAUCAACUUUAAAUGGCAUUGGAUUUGGAUUA
rnacentral:lncRNA from 1 species